rnacentral:rRNA from 1 species
UACGAAGGGUGCUAGCGUUGUUCGGAAUUACUGGGCGUAAAGCGCGCGUAGGCGGCUUUUCAAGUCAGGGGUGAAAUCCUGGGGCUUAACCCCAGAAUUGCCUUUGAAACUGGAAAGCUUGAGUGUCGGAGGGGAUAGCGGAAUUGCUAAUGUAGAGGUGAAAUUCGUAGAUAUUAGCAGGAACACCGGUGGCGAAGGCGGCUAUCUGGACGACAACUGACGCUGAGGCGCGAAAGCGUGGGGAUCAAACAGG